rnacentral:lncRNA from 1 species
AUAAGUUAAAAGGAACAAAAGAUAAUAAUAAAAGUGUUAAUAAUUUAAUGGUAGGGAUGGUUUGAGGUAUUUUUAAAAAUAUAAGAACUAAACGAGCACUAACUUCAAAAUAUAGAGAUUAAACGAGCUUUUACCCUAAUUUGCGCUCUCGGUCGGGUAUGGAUUAUCGGGUCCGGAUCUGAAAAAUUAUUUGACCAAAUGGUCUUGUAGACUAUUUUUUUGGGUUGGAGCAUGGGCGCACGAUGGGUUGACCGUAGAGGCGUAUACGUGGGGUUGGGUAACCAAUAACUAACUACUACAUUAAUGUUUUCUUCAUUUUUA